UGGCUCCUGCCUCCCCAGUGGCCGGGCUCGCCUCGGCACUUGCUUCUCCGGACUUGGGGUGAAGUCCUUGCCUGCGGGAACCCGGUUUCUUCAGGAGCCACCCCAGAGCGAGGGAACGGUGAGGACAUCUCCCUGCCCGGGACUGGCUGCAGAGCGAGUACAAAGAUGGUGCCUCCGGUACAAGAUCAGAGACCCACAACAGAAGGUGCGUUUACACUUGCUGCUGUCUGACCCAGGCUGACGGCCCUGAAAUGACAAGAAAUGUUCCCUCACAGCGAUUGGUGUCAUUUGGGGAUGUCUUUGUGAACUUCUCUGGGAGCAGUGGCGGGACCUGAAUGAUGCUUAAACGACCCUGUACCAGGAUAUGAUGCUGGAGACCUGCAGUCACCUGGUGUCCCUAGGUGAGGAAAGUCCGAUGUUAUACUCGAGUGCAGCGCUGUUUUCUACACUGACUGAAGUUUGGCUUGAUCGAAGACCAUCACUGUUUUUCAUCACAGGGCAUUGUGUAUUGAUCCUCGGCUGGGAGCAGAGGACACAGCCAUGGAAUAUGGAAGAACCCUCGAACCAUAACCUCUCAGGUCAGUCAGUGCCCACCUGGCUGGGAGGAGGAGACAC